rnacentral:lncRNA from 1 species
CUCUCUCCAAGUUUUAAAACUGUGCAAGUGUUAGUGUCCCAGCACAAGCACAUCCUCCCAUUAUUUGCAAAUAAACAGUUAUCCAGACACCCCCAGGCGGGAGCAAGAUUCUGUAGGAUACCUUUAACUUUUUGUUGCUUAACUCGCGUCUCUAUCAACCCAAACAACUUAAUUCUCUUUAUUUGAAGCACUCUUUUCACUUCUUUCUGCUUAUGCUUCUUAUUCACCCCUCUUAUGUUCCAUAUAAUCCACAUCAUUAUUUAGAUUUUCCUCUGCCUUUGGCAUUG